AAUUAAAAACAUGUAAACUAUAUGGGGGUUAAACAUGGCCAAUGAUAAAAUAAAGGUAUUAGAAGGGGAAAACCCAGAAACACACACAUUGUGCGUGUCUGGGGAUCGAACAAGGCAGAACAAGGGUGAAAACCCUUGUUUAUCAAAUUCAAUCAAUUGGGUAAGAGAUUAGAAGAAAAUCAACUGCAUGAACUCAAAUCUACACUCAUCUAAACUUGAUUUUUAAAGAGGCGCGAAGGAAGAAGGUUCAAGUACUAGGAAAUCGGAAGGCCCGCAAGAUCGAGGUAAAGCCUCAAUUUAAUCGGUUCGGCGACUUGGAACGAGCACCCAUAUGUAAUUCGCCUACAAGCGCUUCCGCUACCUUUUGUAACAAAGUCAUGGUCAAAUGUAUUUUGUUGUAGUUAGUUUUAAAUAUUGGUUAAUCUUUGAAGUUUGACUUGUUUGGUCUUUUGAAAUUUCUCUAGAUGUCGGUAGUUAUCUAAAACUAUGUUUUGGAUUUGUAAGUCUUUUGAAAGUGAUGUUAAUUACUUGAAAUUACGUUUGUCAAAACAGGGAUUGUUCAUAUAGCAAAUGGGUCAUGCCAAAUUUUUCUAAAAAUAAUUGUUGAAUUUAUUAAGUUCUAAAGUGAAUGAAAA